rnacentral:rRNA from 2 species
UGACGAGUGGCGGACGGGUGAGUAAUGUCUGGGAAACUGCCUGAUGGAGGGGGAUAACUACUGGAAACGGUGGCUAAUACCGCAUAACGUCGCAAGACCAAAGAGGGGGACCUUCGGGCCUCUUGCCAUCAGAUGUGCCCAGAUGGGAUUAGCUAGUUGGUGAGGUAACGGCUCACCAAGGCGACGAUCCCUAGCUGGUCUGAGAGGAUGACCAGCCACACUGGAACUGAGACACGGUCCAGACUCCUACGGGAGGCAGCAGUGGGGAAUAUUGCACAAUGGGCGCAAGCCUGAUGCAGCCAUGCCGCGUGUAUGAAGAAGGCCUUCGGGUUGUAAAGUACUUUCAGCGGGGAGGAAGGUGUUGUGGUUAAUAACCGCAGCAAUUGACGUUACCCGCAGAAGAAGCACCGGCUAACUCCGUGCCAGCAGCCGCGGUAAUACGGAGGGUGCAAGCGUUAAUCGGAAUUACUGGGCGUAAAGCGCACGCAGGCGGUCUGUCAAGUCGGAUGUGAAAUCCCCGGGCUCAACCUGGGAACUGCAUUCGAAACUGGCAGGCUUGAGUCUUGUAGAGGGGGGUAGAAUUCCAGGUGUAGCGGUGAAAUGCGUAGAGAUCUGGAGGAAUACCGGUGGCGAAGGCGGCCCCCUGGACAAAGACUGACGCUCAGGUGCGAAAGCGUGGGGAGCAAACAGGAUUAGAUACCCUGGUAGUCCACGCCGUAAACGAUGUCUACUUGGAGGUUGUGCCCUUGAGGCGUGGCUUCCGGAGCUAACGCGUUAAGUAGACCGCCUGGGGAGUACGGCCGCAAGGUUAAAACUCAAAUGAAUUGACGGGGGCCCGCACAAGCGGUGGAGCAUGUGGUUUAAUUCGAUGCAACGCGAAGAACCUUACCUGGUCUUGACAUCCACGGAAGUUUUCAGAGAUGAGAAUGUGCCUUCGGGAACCGUGAGACAGGUGCUGCAUGGCUGUCGUCAGCUCGUGUUGUGAAAUGUUGGGUUAAGUCCCGCAACGAGCGCAACCCUUAUCCUUUGUUGCCAGCGAUUAGGUCGGGAACUCAAAGGAGACUGCCAGUGAUAAACUGGAGGAAGGUGGGGAUGACGUCAAGUCAUCAUGGCCCUUACGACCAGGGCUACACACGUGCUACAAUGGCGCAUACAAAGAGAAGCGACCUCGCGAGAGCAAGCGGACCUCAUAAAGUGCGUCGUAGUCCGGAUUGGAGUCUGCAACUCGACUCCAUGAAGUCGGAAUCGCUAGUAAUCGUGGAUCAGAAUGCCACGGUGAAUACGUUCCCGGGCCUUGUACACACCGCCCGUCACACCAUGGGAGUGGGUUGCAAAAGAAGUAGGUAGCUUAACCUUCGGGAGGGCGCUUACCACUUUGUGAUUCAUGACUGGGGUGAAGUCGUAACAAGGUAACCGUAGGGGAACCUGCGGUUGGAUCACCUCCUUACCUUAAAGAA